rnacentral:misc_RNA from 1 species
GGAUCACCAGGUAGCAUUCCUCGGGACAUCGAGCCACGAGAUGUAAAACAUCUACGCGACGUCGAGCGUCAAUCGAAUGGGGCGUGUAAAUGCCAAUUUAUGGGUAGAUAGAGGGGUCGAAGACCCCUUACCCGCAGUGUUUUCCGCAUCCCCGAAGUCAAGCUACGGUCAUGGGCCGAAACUGCAUAGCAAAUCGGAACACGAAUUUCGCUUUGAGGUUCACCCGAAGCCGCACCGUGUAGACGGGCAGCGGUAGGAGAACUUGGUAUAGAUUGCCCGACAAAUUCCAUCGAUGUAGGUACGCAACACAGGAAACCCGUAACUCGGCCAAGGCAAAACUAGCUCUUGUGCCAACAAUUGAUGAGGAAUGCACGAGAGGACGUCGCUACCCGAGUAGGGAUCCAA